UUAAACUUGAAAACGGCAGAUAUCAACCAUUAAAAAUUAUGGAUUUUGAAUCCUUUCGAUCACUAGGUAAAUGAUAUCAAAAAAUCGCAAAAAUUAUUUUCUAGAAACUUCAAAUGCGCUAGAUUAAGUCUAACGGAGCCGAUCGUCGAUUCGAAAAUUUCAUCAUCGAAAACGGCUCAGGAGCACGGAGGCCUCCGUGCUCCUGAGAGCACAGCAGUCCUGCUCUAUAUAUAU
rnacentral:lncRNA from 1 species